GAUGGGGGGUUGGGGAUCCAGAGGACAGUGGAAGAUGGUGGAAGGGAGUGUUAGAUACUGGUCAAGGAUUCUGGGUCUGAAUGCUCCCUUUCCCUCUGCUAGGGAUAUGAUGUAAGGCAAUUUGUUCAAGCUUUCUGGGCCUCUCUCUCCACAUCUGUGAAACAGAUAGGGCUGAUGUUUUACUUACAAAGUUUUAGAGUUUUUGCUGUUCUCAUGUUAAUCCAGAAUACAGGGUCUUGUAACAUUCAUAGUCGCUGGUAUUUGCGACUUCCUCAUCCCUGGCCUCAGGAAAAGCCAGGUCAGCGAGAGCAGCCCGGCCAUCAGGCUGUUCCCUUAGGAAGCCCCAGGCACUGGGAUUCGGCCUUGGCUCUGGAUGACCUCAGAAAAGUCACAGCCUCCCCUGGGCUUCUGUUUCAGGCUGUCAGAUAUUAUUGGAUUGGAACAGUGUCUUCUAAUUGUUGAGCUGUAGCCUCCCUUGUUCAAAAGAACCCUUCUGCAGAAGUCUGGUUUUAACAUGGAGAGUGGGGGUCGUGUCUGGGGGAGGGUCUGAGAGCUGCGCUGGUCAGUGACUGCGCUUCAUGUGACUCUGGGGCCUGGGGACUUUUCCCUCUGUCAGUUGAGGCAGCAAUGGCCAGUCUGAGAGGAUGGCCUGGGGGACCACGGUAUGGAUCUCUGCUCUUCCUCAGCUUCUGUUUCCUCACUCCACCUCUUCCUUCCCCGACAUCCUCGCCUCUCUCUAAGCCAUUCUCUGUGUCUUCCCCUGCCCUUGUUUUCCCCUUUUCACCGCCUCUAGAUGCAGGACAUACUGAAGGUGCUGGUGUCUGACCUUAACCAUUCCAAUGGGGUAGCGCUGCCCCAUAGGACAAGUGGAAGGGGAGGCAGUGCCAAGACCCCUUCUCUGGCUUGCUGCCUCCCAGGUGUGCAUGUCCCUGAGGCUUGUCUCAUUUGGUGGAGACUGCCUCUGGCUUGUUUUAAGUUGCUGCCAUUAACCCUCGGCCUGCUUAUGUCUGCUUCCUCCCCUGCUUGGUUAAUUGCGUUUUUCCCUUCCCUUGUGUCUUUUAUCAUCUUGGAGAGGGUAAGGCACACCUCAAAGAUUUGGUGAUUUGGGAAUAACUUUCAGAGCAGGUCUGUAGGGUUUUGGGCUUUGAAUGCCCAGUGCGGUUAGACCAGGAGAGAUUUGAAAAAAUACAAAUGCUGUUACAUUUUGCCCUCUGGGCAAGUAGACCAGAUGGAACUGAGUGAUUUUUCAACUUGAUGAAUUCCAUUUUGGUUUGAGAGUGAGAAGGUAGAAUUAAGAGAAAAUGAAUUGGCUUUAUAAUCACAAGGAUGGAGGUUAGCUCUUCAGAGGAACUAACCGGCAAGGAUGUGAGGCUACCCAGACAGACCAGUGCUAGGACACUCUGCCUGCCCCUCGUCUCUUUGACAAAUCAGAUGGGGCACUCAACCAUGUUCACUGGGCCCGUGGAUCGCAAAGGCAUUGGAUGCACAGUGGUGGAAGUAGAAGAACAAGACAGGAGGUGCCAUGGGGGUGGCAGAGUGCUCUGAGGGGGCAGGGGAAAGGCGGCAAUAGGCCAGCUGCAUGGCUAGGUGAGGGAGGUGGGUUCCGAAUGGACUUGUGGCUGGAAAAGGUGGCAUUUGAGGCCAGUGUGAAGGUGGGUAAUAUUCAUCCACGUGGCGAGUGGGGGAGGCAGAGGGAGCGAUGAGGUCAUAGGCAGCAUAGUGAGGUCAUAGAACACCUUCCAGGGCUGCAGCGAGCCUGAGUUGGGGGAGGGGCAGGGCACAGGCACACGGGGCUAGGUAGGCCAUAACCUGCAGAUAAUGUUGGCACUUCCUGUCUAACUGCCCCAGGGCCUUCAGCCAAGCCAGUGUAGCAGGGCUGAUCUGGAGAUGGGCCUAGGGAAAGGGACAGAUGGCUGGUCAACCAUCAUGGCGGCUCCCACCCAGGAAGGUCUGGCCAGGGGCCAUGACUCACUCUGCAGCCUCAGAGGAGACAACAAAUGACAUAGUCUGGGCAGGGCCCAGGCACGGAGAAGUGCUGACAGCUGAAAUUUGACUUCGAGUAGCUCAGUGUACUUGAGCCAUCACAGGGUCUCCAAGGGCUGGCAUGAGGAGGAAACUGCAGUCAGAGCUGGAGCUAGGAAUCGGACUAAGGCAUUCUCAAGCCAGGUGCAGGCUUCUCAUCUGGUGUCGACACCCAGGCAAAGCUCCACCUUCAGACUGAAAGCCAGGUGCAGACUUCUCAUCUGGUGUCCUGACACCCAGGCGAAGCUCCACCUUCAGACUCAAAGUGAGGUGCAGGCUUCUCAUCUGGUAUCCAGACACACAGGUGAAGCUCCCCCUUCAGACUGAAAGACAGGUGCAGGAUUCUCAUCUGGUGUCCUGACACCCUGUUGAAGCCCCUACUUCAGAUUGAAAGCGACUUGCAGGCUUCUCAUCUGGUGUCCUGACACCCAUGUGAAACUACACAUUCAGACUGAAAUCCAGGUGCAGGCUUCCCAUGUGGUGUCCUGACACCCAGGCGAAUCUCCACCUUCAAACUGAAAGUGAGGUGCAGGCUUCUCAUCCGGUGUCCUGACUCCCAGGCGAAGCUCCACCUUCAGACUGAAAGCGAGGUACAGGCUUCUCAUCUGGUGUCCUGACAACCAGGUGAAGCUCCACCUUCAGACUGAAACCCAUCUGCAGGCUUUUCAUCUGGUGUCCUGACUCCCAUGCGAAGCUCCACCUUCAGACUGAAAGCCAGGUGCAGGCUUCUCAUCUGGUGUCCUGACACCCAUGCAAAAUUCCACCUUCAGACUGAAAUCCAGGUGCAUGCUUUCCAUGCGGUGUGCUGACACCAAGGCGAAGCUCCACCUUCAGACUGAAAGCGAGGUGCAGGCUUCAAAUCUGGUAUCCUAACGCCCACGGGAAGCUCCGCCUUCAGACUGAAAGCCAGGUGCAGGCUUCUCAUCUGGUGUCAUGACAUCCAGGCGAAGCUCCACCUUCAGACUGAAAGCCUGAUGCAGGCUUCUCAUCUGGUGUAAUGACACCGAGUCGAGGCUCCACCUUCUGACUGAAAGCCAGGUGCAGGCUUCUCAUCUAGUGUCCUGACACCCAGGCGAAGCUCCCUCUUCAGACUGAAAGUGAGGUGCAGGCUUCUCAUCUGGUGUCAUGUCACCCAGGCGAAGCUCUCACCUCAGAUUGAAAGUGACUUACAGGCUUCUCAUCUGGUGUCGUGACAUCCAGGCGAAGCUCCACCUUCAGACUUAAAGCGAGGUGCAGGCUUCUCAUCUUGUGUCCUGACACCCAGGCGAAGCUCCACUUUCAGACAGAAAGCCAGGUGCAGGCUUCUCAUCUGGUGUCCUCACACCCAGGCGAAGCUCCCACUUCAGAUUGAAAGCGACUUGCAGGCUUCUCAUCGCGUGUCCUGACACCCAGACGGAACUCCACCUUCAGACUGAAACCCAGGUCCAGGCUUUUCAUCUGGUGUCCUGACUCCCAGGCGAAGCUCCACUGCCAGACUGUAAGCCAGGUGCAGGCUUCUCAUCAGGUGUCCUGACACCCAAGCGAAGCUCCACCUUCAGAUGUGAAACGAGGGGCAGGCUACUCAUCUGGUGUCCUGACACCCGGGUGAACCGCCCCAUUCACAUGUGAAGCUAGGGGCAGACUUCAAAUCUGGUGUUCUGACACCCAGGCGAACCUCCACAUACAGAAUGUGAAGCUAGGGGCAGACAUCUCAUCUGGUCUUCUGACAAUCAUGUGAAGCUUCACCUUCAGACUGAAAGCCUGGUGCAGGCUUCUCAUCUGGUAUGCUGACACCCACGCGAAGCUCCGUCUUCAGACAGAAAGCCAGGUUCAGGCUUAUCAUCUGGUGGCCUGAUAUUCAGGCGAAGCUCCACCUUCAUACUGAAAGCCAGGUGCAGGAUUCUCAUCUGGUGUCCUGAUACCCAGGAAAAGCUCGAACUUGAGACAUGAAGCCAGGUGCAGGUUUCUCAUCUGGGGUCCUGACACCUAGGGGAAGCUCCACUUUCAGACUGAAAGCCAAGUGCAGGCUUAUCAUCUGGUGUCCUGACUCCCAGGAGAUCCACCACCUUCAGAUGUGAAGCUUGGGCAGGCUUCUCAUCUGGUGUCCUGAAUCCUGGCGAAGCUCCACCUUCAGACUGAAACCCAGGUGAAGGCUUCUCAUCUGGCGUCCUGACUCCAAAGCGAAGCUCCACUUUCAGAUUGAAAGCAAAGUGCAGGCUUUUCAUCUGCUGUGCUGACACCCAGGCGAAGCUCCACCUUCAGAUAUGAAACAAGGGGCAGGCUUCUCAUCUGGUGUCCUGAUACCCAGAUGAAGCUCCACCUUCAGACUGAAACCCAGGUGCAGGCUUCUCAUCUGGUGUCCUGACACCCAGACGAAGCUCCACCUUCAGACUGAAACCCAAGUGCAGGCUUUUCAUCUGGUGUCCUGAAUCCCAGGGGAAGCUCCACCUUCAGAUGUGAAACAAGGGGCAGGCUUCUCAUCUGGUGUCCUGACACCCGGGUGAACCUCCCCAUUCAGAUUUGAAGCUUGGGGCAGGCAUCUCAUCUUGUGUUCUGUCACACAGGUGAAGCUCCACCUUCAGACUGAAAGCCAGGUGCAGGCUUCUCAUCUGGUGUCCUGACACCAGGUGAGCUCCACCUUCAGACUGAAAGCCAGGUACAGGCUUCUCAUCUGGUGUCCUGACACCCAGGCGAACCUCCACAUACAGAUGUGAAUCUAGUGGCAGACUUCUCAUCUGGUGUUCUGACACCCAGGUGAAGCUUCACCUUCAGACUGAAAGCCAGGUGCAGGCUUCUCAUCUGGUGUCCUGACACCCAGGCGAGGCUCCACCUUUUGACGUCAUGUGAGGUGCAGGCUUCUAAUCUGGUUCCUGACACCCAGGCGAACAUCCACAUACAGAUGUGAAGCUAGGGGCCGAUUUCACAUCUGGUGUUCUGACACCCAGGCAAAGCUCCGCAUUCAGAUGGAAAGCCUCGUGCAGGCUUAUCAUCUGGUGUCCAACACCCAGGUGAAACCCCACCUUCAGAUGUGAAACUAGGUGCAGGCUUCUCAUCUGGUGUCGUGGUACCCAGGUGAAGCUCCACCUCAGAGUGAAGCCAGGUGCAGGCUUCUCAUCUAGUGUCCUGACACACAGGCGAAGCUCCCCCUUCAGACUGAAAGCGAUGUUUAGGCUUCUCAUCUGGUGACCUGACACGCCGGCGAAGCUCCCCCUUCAGACUGAAAGCCAGGUGCAGUCUUCUCUUCUGGUGUCUGACACCCAGGCGAAGCUCCACCUUCAGAUGUGAAACGAGGGGAAGGCUUCUCAUCUUGUGUUCUGACACCCAGCAGAGCUCCACAUUCAGACUGAAAGCCAGGUGUAGGCUUCUCAUCUGGUGUCCUGACACUAAUGUGAGCUCCACACUCAGACUGAAAGCCAGGUGCAGUCUUCUCUUCUGGUGUCUGACACCCAGGCGAUCCUCCACCUUCAGAUGUGAAGCGAGGGGCAGGCUUCUCAUCUGCUGUCCUGUCACCCACGCAAAGCUCCAUUGCACACGUGAUGUGAGGUUCAGGCGUCUCAUCUAGUGUCCUGACACCCUGGCAAAUCUCCACAUCCUGAUGUGAAAUCAGGUGCAGGCUUCUCAUCUGGUGUCCUGACUCCCAAGAGAAGCUCGAACCUUCAGACUGAAAGCGUUGUUCAGGCUUCUCAUCUGGUGUUCUGAUACACAGUUGAAGCUCCACCUUCAGACUGAAAUUGAUGUGCAGGCUUCUCAUCUGGUGUUCUGACACCCAGCAGAGCUCCACCUUCAGACUGAAACCAGGUGCAGGCUUCUCAUCUGGUGUGCUGAAACCCAGGUGAAGCUCUACCUUCACACUGAACACCAUGUGCAGGCUUCCCAUAUGGAGUCCUGACAAUCAGACAAAGCUUCACCUUCAGACUGAAAGCCUGGUGCAGGCUUCUCAUCUGGUGUCCUGACACCAAGGCGAUGCUAGACCUUCAGAUUGAAAGCCUGCUGCAGGCUUCUCAUCUGGUGUCCUGACACCCAGGCGAAGCUCCACCUUCAAUGUGAAGCGAGGGGCAGGCUUCUCAUCUGGUGUCCUUAUACCCAGACGAAACUCGACCUUCAGACUGAAAGCCAUGUGUAGGCUUCUCAUCUGGUGUCCUGACACCCAGGCAAAGCUCCACCUUGAGACUGAAAGUGAGGGUCAGGUUUUUCAUCUGGUGUCCUGACACCCAGGUGAACAACACUUUCAGACUGAGAACCUGGUGUAGGCUUCUCAUCUGGUGUCCUGACACCCAGGCUAACCUACACCUUCAGACUGAAAGCCAGGUGCAGGCUUCUCAUCUGGCGUCCUGACUCCCAGGCGAAGCUCCACUUUCAGACUGAAAGACAGGUGCAGGCUUCUCAUCUGGUGUCCUGACACCCAGGCGAGGCUCCACCUUUUGACGUCAUGUGAGGUGCAGGCUUCUCAUCUGGUGUCCUGACACCCAGGCGAACCUCCACAUACAGAUGUGAAGCUAGGGGCAGGCUUUUCAUCUGGUCUCCUGACACCCUGGCAAAGCUCCAACUCCAGAUGUGAAGCCAGGUGCAGGGUUCUCAUCUGGUGUUCUGACACCUAGGCGAAGCUCCACCUUCAGAUGUGAACGGGUGGCAGGCUUCCCAUCAGGUGUCCUGACACCCAGGUGAGUUCCACCUUCAGACUGAAAGCGAGGGGCAGGCUUCUCAUCUGGUGUGCUGACACCCAGUCAAGCUCCACCUUCAGUCUUAAAGCCCGGUGCAGUCUUGUAAUUUGGUGUCCUGAUGCAGAAGAGGAGUUCCACCUUCAGACUGAAAGCCAGGUGCAGGCUUCUCAUCUGGUGUCCUGCCAGCCUUUUGAAGCUCCACCUUCAAAUGAAAGUGAGGUGCAGGCUUCUCAUCUGGUGUCCUGACAUCCAGGCGAAUCUACACCUUCAGACUGAAAGCCAGGUGCAGGCUUCUUAUCUGGUGUCCUGACACCCAGGUGAAGCUCCAGCUCCAGACGUGAAGCCAGGAGAAGCUCCACCCGCAGACGUGAUGCGAGGUGCAGGCUUCUCAUCUGGUGUCCUGACACCCUGGGAUUGCUCCACAUCCAGAUGUGCAGCCAGGUUCAGGCUUCUAAUGU